CCAGACAAACGGGCCUCGAUCCCGUAAAAAUUAAUUAACAGCUAACUACCCAAACCAGAGGGCUUUUGUCUG
rnacentral:tRNA from 1 species